rnacentral:rRNA from 2 species
AAAGAAAGCGUAAUAGCUCACUGGUCGAGUCGGCCUGCGCGGAAGAUGUAACGGGGCUAAACCAUGCACCGAAGCUGCGGCAGCGACGCUGAUGCGUUGUUGGGUAGGGGAGCGUUCUGUAAGCCUGCGAAGGUGUGCUGUGAGGUAUGCUGGAGGUAUCAGAAGUGCGAAUGCUGACAUAAGUAACGAUAAAGCGGGUGAAAAGCCCGCUCGCCGGAAGACCAAGGGUUCCUGUCCAACGUUAAUCGGGGCAGGGUGAGUCGA